rnacentral:rRNA from 1 species
UACGGAGGGUGCAAGCGUUAUCCGGAUUCACUGGGUUUAAAGGGUGCGUAGGCGGGCAGGUAAGUCAGUGGUGAAAUCUUCGAGCUUAGCUCGGAAACUGCCGUUGAUACUAUCUGUCUUGAAUACUCGGGAGGUGAGCGGAAUAUGUCAUGUAGCGGUGAAAUGCUUAGAUAUGACAUAGAACACCAAUUGCGAAGGCAGCUCACUACCCAGAUAUUGACACUGAGGCACGAAAGCGUGGGGAUCAAACAGG